UCGACACCGAAAUCCAUCAAUUGUUCGCACUAAUUGCGGCUAAUUGAGGCGGCCGAGAUGGAGGUCAAUGAACAAACAAUCUGAGAUCACAGACCCAGAGGUGUUGGCAAGUUCGAUUCGGUUUACUUAAACAAACAUUUUGGCAAUUGGGUAAAUAACCCUUUCAAGGGAAGACUUGAGAUGAUCAAGAUCCUAUGUGUUCCGUCUUGCCGGAAGCCAAAUGAUCCGUUUGAUUCGCUUUGGCCUCCAUCGUCUUGCAUCUGCCCUUUUGUGUACACAAAUCGCCAAUUGCAUUUCUCUGACGACAGCCGCCCGAAUGAGGAAGAGAAAUGCCGCCGACCCAGAAGGGUGGCACUCCCGCCCCCAUAUUCGUUUUUCCGACGAUUUUUCCCCCGCUGCGUGCGUGAAAAGCCAUUUGGCACGCGUUCAAAUUGCCGCAAAAGCAUCGCAUAAAUGCAACUGCAACAGCAGCAGCAGCAGGGGCAGCAAUCAAAGGGAAAGCCAUCGUAGGAGAAGUCAAGUGAAAGCCACAGUAAGCUCCAAAGAAUCUCCGGAGAAUUCUUCCAGGCACAGUGGAGGAAUAAUCAUUAACA